rnacentral:rRNA from 1 species
CAUGCAGUCGAACGGAAGGCCCCUUCGGGGGUGCUCGAGUGGCGAACGGGUGAGUAACACGUGGGUGAUCUGCCUCGUACUCUGGGAUAAGCCUGGGAAACUGGGUCUAAUACUGGAUAGGACCGCACUUUAGUGUGUGUGGUGGAAAGUUUUUUCGGUACGAGAUGAGCCCGCGGCCUAUCAGCUUGUUGGUGGGGUAAUGGCCUACCAAGGCGUCGACGGGUAGCCGGCCUGAGAGGGUGGACGGCCACAUUGGGACUGAGAUACGGCCCAGACUCCUACGGGAGGCAGCAGUGGGGAAUAUUGCACAAUGGGCGCAAGCCUGAUGCAGCGACGCCGCGUGAGGGAUGACGGCCUUCGGGUUGUAAACCUCUUUCGACAGGGACGAAGCUUUUUGUGACGGUACCUGUAUAAGAAGCACCGGCUAACUACGUGCCAGCAGCCGCGGUAAUACGUAGGGUGCGAGCGUUGUCCGGAAUUACUGGGCGUAAAGAGCUCGUAGGUGGUUUGUCGCGUCGUCUGUGAAAUUCCGGGGCUUAACUCCGGGCGUGCAGGCGAUACGGGCAUAACUUGAGUGCUGUAGGGGAGACUGGAAUUCCUGGUGUAGCGGUGGAAUGCGCAGAUAUCAGGAGGAACACCGAUGGCGAAGGCAGGUCUCUGGGCAGUAACUGACGCUGAGGAGCGAAAGCAUGGGGAGCGAACAGGAUUAGAUACCCUGGUAGUCCAUGCCGUAAACGGUGGGCGCUAGGUGUGAGGGUCUUCCACGACUUUCGUGCCGUAGCUAACGCAUUAAGCGCCCCCGCCUGGGGGAGUACGGCCGCAAGGCUAAAACUCAAAGGAAUUGACGGGGGGCCCGCACAAGCGGCGGAGCAUGUGGAUUAAUUCGAUGCAACGC